UACGUAGGGGGCAAGCGUUGUCCGGAUUUAUUGGGCGUAAAGAGCGUGUAGGCGGCCAGGUAGGUCCGUUGUGAAAACUGGAGGCUUAACCUCCAGCUGUCGAUGGAAACCAUCUGGCUAGAGUCCGGAAGAGGAGAGUGGAAUUCCUGGUGUAGCGGUGAAAUGCGCAGAUAUCAGGAAGAACACCCGUGGCGAAGGCGGCUCUCUGGGACGGUACUGACGCUGAGACGCGAAAGCGUGGGGAGCAAACAGG
rnacentral:rRNA from 1 species